UCACUGUGAUUAACUUUAGUUAGGGGCUC
rnacentral:piRNA from 1 species